GACAGAGGGUGCAAACGUUGUUCGGAAUUACUGGGCGUAAAGCGCGUGUAGGCGGCCCUGCAAGUCGGGUGUGAAAUCCCACGGCUCAACCGUGGAAGUGCAUUCGAAACUGCAGGGCUAGAGUCCUGGAGAGGAAGGUGGAAUGCUUGGUGUAGAGGUGAAAUUCGUAGAUAUCAAGCGGAACACCCGUGGCGAAGGCGGCCCCCUGGGCCGCGCCUGACGCUGAGACGCGAAAGCGCGGGGAGCGAACGGG
rnacentral:rRNA from 1 species